CAGGCCUAACACAUGCAAGUCGAAUGGCAGGCCCUGCUUUUGUGGGGUGCUCGAGUGGCGAACGGGUGAGUAACACGUGAGUAACCUGCCCUUGACUUUGGGAUAACUUCAGGAAACUGGGGCUAAUACCGGAUAGGAGCUCCUGCUGCAUGGUGGGGGUUGGAGAGUUUCGGCGGUUGGGGAUGGACUCGCGGCUUAUCAGCUUGUUGGUGGGGUAGUGGCUUACCAAGGCUUUGACGGGUAGCCGGCCUGAGAGGGUGACCGGCCACAUUGGGACUGAGAUACGGCCCAGACUCCUACGGGAGGCAGCAGUGGGGAAUAUUGCACAAUGGGCGGAAGCCUGAUGCAGCAACGCCGCGUGUUUUUAUGACGGCCUUCGGGUUGUAAACCGCUUUCGCCUGUGACGAAGCGUGAGUGACGGUAAUGGGUAAAGAAGCACCGGCUAACUACGUGCCAGCAGCCGCGGUGAUACGUAGGGUGCGAGCGUUGUCCGGAUUUAUUGGGCGUAAAGGGCUCGUAGGUGGUUGAUCGCGUCGGAAGUGUAAUCUUGGGGCUUAACCCUGAGCGUGCUUUCGAUACGGGUUGACUUGAGGAAGGUAGGGGAGAAUGGAAUUCCUGGUGGAGCGGUGGAAUGCGCAGAUAUCAGGAGGAACACCAGUGGCGAAGGCGGUUCUCUGGGCCUUUCCUGACGCUGAGGAGCGAAAGCGUGGGGAGCGAACAGGCUUAGAUACCCUGGUAGUCCACGCUGUA
rnacentral:rRNA from 1 species